GAUUGCUAAAGUCCUAUUGCAUGCUUUAAGAUGCCUUGCGUUUGGUGAAUUGAAGCCUGAUAUGUCAACAUACUCUCUGUAAACACAGCAGCACAGAGGGCAAAGAAACACUUAUCCAGCACCACAGCUAGGACAAAAGGAAUUAUUUUGACAGUAAAUGGACUUGCAGCUUAAGGUUGGUAUGUACCCAAUUGUGACUAAACCAAAAGAAACAAAUCUGGAAACUGAAGUAUCAAUACGUGAAAAGCGUUCUUUUGGUAUUGGGAGUGCCAGUUGUCUUUGUUUCAUGAACUACUUCUCCGUAAUAGCAUGCAGCCAUCUUCAAGAGGAUUACUCAAAGUUAUUGAGAAGAAAUACAGGUUCUGGUGGACAAUUUCCAGUCUGGAGUCUGCAUUUGGAGAGAUUCUACAGCACAUGCAUGAAUGAGGAGGAGGUGGUGUCCCAAGGGCAUUUAUAUCUUUGCUCUGUAUUUGGAGGAGAAUGGAGAGUUCCAAAUGAUCAGAGCUUGCACAUUACUAGAUCCCCUUUCUAAUGGAGUAUCUGCUGAGGAGACUGGAAUGAGGAAGGAAUUCAUUAAGUCUGAUUGUCUCUGAACAGCAAAGUUCCUGAGGUCAGUCUGAAGUGAAAUAAACUAUUCAAAAGCUUAAAAUACCCUGAAUAAGAAUAAAACAUGCCAGUAAUUAAAAUGAUUUGAGGAUUUUAUUCUAAAUACAUUUUAAAGAUCAAAGACUAAAUCUACCAACAGGCAAAGCAUGAAGACUAGAGUUCUGUGAAUUUAGCCUUUAGACUUAAUCUCUGAGGAAAAGAAAACCAAUCUCAGACAAAGACAUACGAAGCCAGGGAGAAUUGUUAGAUAUAUUAUCUCUAAUUCCAGUGGGGCUAUCCGUGUUAAAAAUUAGUAAGAGGGAAAAAAGUACAUGGUAAAAACUGCAGAAGGAAUAAAGAAAAAAAAAGCAUAAACAGUAUUAUUUGCUAACGUUGAAAGACACACAAACUCUUAAGAUUAGAAACUCUAAUAUCAAUACAAAUAAAUUUUACAUGUAAAAUACCAGAAUAAAAUAGAUAAUGCAGAACUAAUCAAGCUGAGAAAAGAAGCACAAUUACUGUAGAACCAAUACAUGAGUAAGAAAAAGUAUGUAAGAGUAGAAUUCACUUAUGUUGAUACCUAAAUAAAUCAACUGGAAGGGAGGAUUGGAUAAUCAUGAGAGAAGUCACAAGAAAUUUAGACAACAUCAUUAUCAGUAGAUAACUUUAUGUCUCACCUUCCUGUUUAAAACUUCAACCCUUCUAUCCACCCUGUACACUCAGCAGAAAACUUUUCCCAAUAUUUCAUUUAAAAAAUGGCAACAAUCAGAAGAGAGCACCUCUCCUUCCACUCUUAAGUGUACCAGUGCCCCUUUAUGUGACCACCUAUGUUCAGACAUUACUCACAAUACAAUAAAGAAAUGUCCCUGUUUUUGUCUAAGACCUUUCAUUUAUGAUCUAGAUGACAUGCCCUUCCAUUAGAUCAAUGAUUUGAACACUGAAAUUGUCCUCGCUCAUCCUGCAUCAUUAGAAGUUCUCUCUUGUUUCUAUCAUGUAUGGAGUUAUAGAAGAAAACACAUGUUAAAAAAAUUUUCCUUAAACAAGCAUCUCUCUCCAAUAACUUCCUAAUUCUCCCCAGUCCAUUGGAAAAGUAGUAAGCUAAGAGAGUCGCAUAUUUUUCUGUUACUGACUACUUCUCCACUGACACACUUUUCAAGUCAUUCCAUAUAGACUUUUAUUCCCACUUAGUUAAAGAAAGAGAAAUAACAAAGAACUUAGUGGGGUUGAUGGAUGUUAUUAUAACAUACAUUUAUACAACUAAUACUUAGAAGGUAUUUAUGUAUUGGACUAUGUCAUGAGAAUUUUUAGUAAGCUUGCUACUUGAUAAUACUCAAUUGGAAAAUAGAGAGAGCCAGAUUCUUAGGAGUACAAAUGAGAAAUGAAAAUCUGUAAUGGAUAUCUCUACUUGUAAUCUUUAUAGAUAUAAAAAAAGGAGUCACACAGCAUUCAGAAUAUUCGUAACCAGAUGCUUAUGAAUAGAGUUUAAUUUGUUGGUGCACCUUUCCCCUACCAUUCUUUCUAAGUACAAUUAAGCAGGUAGAAUUGAGGGAGUUUCUAUUUCCACUCAAACAUUUGAAAAAGAUGAAGUAAAG
rnacentral:lncRNA from 10 species